rnacentral:lncRNA from 1 species
GCGUGAAUUCAUUCUAAAAUCAUUUUCCAAAAAGCCAAAGGGCUCCAAGGACACAAAACGAACAGCAGAUCCCAACAACAAGAAAGAAAACUAUAUUUCAAACCGUACCCUUGCGGAGAUGAGCAAGGAUCACAAUUUCCUCAAAGAAAAGGAUAGGAUCAGUGGUUAUGGCAGCAGUCUAGACAAAAGCUUUAUGGAUGAAAAUGAUUACCAGUCCUUUAUCCAUAACCCCAGCCUCACAGUGACAGUGCCAAUUGCACCUGGGGAGUCUGAUUUGGAGAUUAUGAACACAGAAGAGCUUAGCAGUGACUCAGACAGUGACUACAGCAAAGAGGGGUAAACACAGUGGAACGCCCCCAGGAUACAGCUCUGUGCUGUAACUACUCAGAGACACAUGUGACCACUUUUACACAGAAACGGAACCGAUCAAGCUCUUCUGAGUGCAGCACUGUUGACAACCCUCUGCCAGGAGAAGAGGAGGCUGAAGCAGAGCCCGUAAACGCAGAUGAGCCUGAAGCCUGCUUUACAGAUGGUUGUGUGAGGAGAUUUCCAUGCUGCCAAGUUA